CACGUAGGGGGCAAGCGUUGUUCGGAAUUAUUGGGCGUAAAGGGCAUGUAGGCGGUUUUGUAAGUCUGGCGUGAAAUGGUAAGGCUUAACCUUAUCCUGCGUCGGAAACUGCGAGACUAGAAUCACUGAGGGGAAAUCAGAAUUCCAGGUGUAGGGGUGAAAUCUGUAGAUAUCUGGAAGAAUACCAGUGGCGAAGGCGGAUUUCUGGCAGAUGAUUGACGCUGAGGUGCGAAAGCGUGGGGAGC
rnacentral:rRNA from 1 species